GAGGUGCUCUUCGGGUACCCCGACCAUCUCUAGCUGCUUUUGUGGGUCUCUUAUCUUCUGAAUCUGCUCCAAAUCAAAUGGCACGCCCAGCUUGUUGAAGCAGGAAAUGACAGCUUUGGCGGUGCCUGAUGUAUCCAGUUUGGUUGCUUGAUGUGAUUCCAUUACCUGCAACGUAUAUCCUGAAAAGGCCCCGGGAAACUGAUCGGCCAUAAUCUCCAUUGCAGCUAGAAAUGCAACCACCUGUUUUC
rnacentral:misc_RNA from 1 species